CAAAUUAUUAAGCGUUUCCACUCAUCUGAUCUGAUGAGUGGAACGUAGACUUGAGGCUGAACCUGGAAGUUUACGGAAUUAGAAAACCCCAAAAGACUAGUUUGAAAGGCUCCCGAUUAGUACGAUGUAAGAAGAUGAUCUCCAAUUCACCUAUGAAAUACAUAUACAUAGCAAGUUUCCCAAGAUGCAAUGCACCUGGGAGGUUUAUAGUACCGCCCCCUACAUGCUGUAGCCUGUGGGUAGCACGUGGCGUCGAGUGUGAAGGUGUUGGAGCGGCUUUUGCAUCGAGUUUUGGAGCCAUUCUGGAAAUUGUUUGCAGUUAUUUU